AGAGUUGAUCAUGGCUCAGGACGAACGCUGGCGGCAUGCCUAACACAUGCAAGUCGAACGGGGGUAGCAAUACCCUAGUGGCGAACGGGUGAGUAACACAUAAGCAAUCUGCCCUUCACAGGGGGAUAACAGCGGGAAACUGCUGCUAAUACCGCAUAAGACCACGGUACCGCAUGGUACAGGGGUAAAAACGAAUCAGUGGUGAAGGAUGAGCUUAUGUCCCAUUAGCUAGUUGGUGAGAUAACAGCCCACCAAGGCGAUGAUGGGUAGCCGACCUGAGAGGGUGAUCGGCCACACUGGAACUGAGACACGGUCCAGACUCCUACGGGAGGCAGCAGUGGGGAAUAUUGGGCAAUGGAGGGAAAAACCUCUUACCCAGCAAUGCCGCGUGAGUGAAGAAGGUCUUCGGAUUGUAAAGCUCUUUGAUUGGGGACGAAGAAAGUGACGGUACCCAAAGAACAAGCCCCGGCUAACUACGUGCCAGCCGCAGC
rnacentral:rRNA from 1 species